rnacentral:rRNA from 1 species
AAAUAACCAUGAUUCCCCUAGUAACGGCGAGUGAAGCGGGAAAAGCUCAAAUUUGAAAUCUGGUAGAGUUUUAUUCUUUGCCCGAGUUGUAAUUUCAAGAAGCUGCUUUGAGUAAUGAACGUCGGUCUAAGUUCCUUGGAACAGGACGUCAGAGAGGGUGAGAACCCCGUCUUUGGCCGAUGUGCUUUGCCAUAUAAAGCGCUUUCUAAGAGUCGAGUUGUUUGGGAAUGCAGCUCUAAAUGGGUGGUGAAUUUCAUCUAAAGCUAAAUAUUGGCGAGAGACCGAUAGCGAACAAGUAGAGUGAUCGAAAGAUGAAAAGAACUUUGAAAAGAGAGUUAAAUAGUACGUGAAAUUGCUGAAGGGGAAGCAUUGGAAACCAGUCUUACCUUGGUGAGAUCAGCUGUUUACUUGUAGACAGUGCACUCUGAACCUAGGUAGUCAGCAUCAGUUUCGGGACGAAAGAUAGGAUGUGCUUUGGCUUGCUCAGAAGUGUAUAGCCCUUAUGUAA